UACGUAGGGUGCAAGCGUUGUCCGGAAUUAUUGGGCGUAAAGAGCUCGUAGGCGGUCUGUCACGUCGGCUGUGAAAACCCGAGGCUCAACCUCGGGCCUGCAGUCGAUACGGGCAGACUAGAGUUCGGUAGGGGAGACUGGAAUUCCUGGUGUAGCGGUGAAAUGCGCAGAUAUCAGGAGGAACACCGGUGGCGAAGGCGGGUCUCUGGGCCGUAACUGACGCUGAGGAGCGAAAGCGUGGGGAGCGAACAGG
rnacentral:rRNA from 1 species